GAUCCUGUAGCUCAGCCGGUAGAGCGCAACACUUUUAAUGUUGUACCUGGGUUCGAACCCCAGCGGGAUCA
rnacentral:tRNA from 1 species